rnacentral:lncRNA from 1 species
AACGAUUCAGUAUCUGUAGUGGCUUCAAUGCAUUCAAGAUGUCAGUCAAACUGCAUAUACUUCCUUAAUGACAACGAUGGUAUACAUUGUCAGCAUACAUUUGACGACUUCGGGGUGUAUAAUGUCAAAAGUCAAAGCGUUACAAAACCUGCACGUUUGAGGAACCCAGUGAAAAGGACGAGGUACCCUCCAUUUAUGUUUCAACCAACUGUUUACAUGUAACAGUUUAUUAUGUCCCUUAGAAUAUUAUUUUAAAGUUAAUUUACUUGGAACUCAGGAAUAAGGGGUAUGUUGUUCUUCUCUCUGAAUUUACGCCCUUUGUCUUAUCAGAUUGGGCGACUUUGCAAUGGAACUUUUGUAUAUAUUUUUGAUGUAUAGUAGACGAUUCAUGGCCAUUUGCAUGUCAUGGCGUUGUCAGAUAAAGAACAAAAAUUUGUAAACGUGAUAAUUUGACGACUCUGUCGCUCUUGGUUUCAGAAAAUAAAAAGGAUACAUGGAAUAAAGUCCAUGCAAUUAAGACUUUUAAAAAAAGUGAUUUUGUGGAUCUUGAAAAAGAUGGUUAAUAACAAUAGAUGAAAAUUCUGUAGUAACUCUAAUAAAUUUAUUAAUUUGGGUUCAAUGUGGAAGAGAGGCCCCUUCACCGAAGCCUAAAACUGGUUGUUGGGCUUAAACAUCAUGAUCAUUUUGUCUUCAACGCUAGGAUAUCAGCAGACCCGAUCUUAAACUCCAAAGAUUUGAAUUGUUAUGGUUAUGUACGUGCGUGAUAGUGAAUUGCUCUAUUUCUUGGUGACGACGAUUCAAUACGUGUCGUGGCGUCAAUGCAUUUCAUAUAUGGGUCGAAAAAAUGACAACGAUCCGAUUGGUGCUUGGUAUUCAUUUUAAGAAUUUCGGGAUGUAUAAUGUUAAAGUAAAAAAGUUACAAUGACUUGUUAAAACCUUGUCAGUUGUUUACAUGUAACCUGCAAAAAGAACUUUUGGCCGGAACCUUGUCAGUUGACUCACCCAUGGCUUUAUUUGUUUGCAAUGUCACUUACUGCCCUUAACGGAACCUAAUUCAUCUAUUAUUAACGCAAAGAGUAAAAUACCAAUUCCUCAUGAAUUUUCACUUGGUUUUCGAUUUUCCCCCUAAAUUUUUUAAUUAGAAAAUUAAUGACUUAAACCAACUUUUUUGGUCGAUUCCCCCUACCUUUAGUUUUUCAUAGAUUCCAUUAAAAAAACUUUAACUCUUAUCACAUGCACACCACGUGACACUCAUUUGUAGACAAAAGCAUCACUUCACUAGACCUUUAGACACAAAAGUUAUAGAAUCACACAUAUUUGCACAGGUCAACAUUUUAGAAAUCUAGGGUUUUCAAUUAUUUUAAAGAUUGAACUACUCUCAUAUGUUGUUCACAUGCUCCCGUUUAACAAAAAAUUAAAUGAAAUUAAUGAAAAACUAACAGUAGGAGGAAAUCGGCCAAAAAAAAAUUAGUUUGAGUACUUAAUUUUCCAAUUAAAAAGUUUAGGGAGAAAAUCGAAAGUUAAGUAAAGUUGAUGGGGGAAAUUAAUAGUUUACUCUAAAAGCAAAUGAAACUACUAGCAAUACAUAUACAUUCACCUCCAACAUCAUAUAAGUUCAAGGAAAUCAUCGUUUGGUUGUUCUAAUUUAUUUUUGAAAGUACAUAUACAAAAUGUAAACACCAGUAUACCAGUUGAAAUUUCAAAUUAAUAUUUUCAUAUUAUCGAAUUAAAUUUUCAACCCUAGCAAAUGGACUACAAACCCAUUGAUUUGGUCCUAAACAGUUACAUACUAAUAACGGGACUCACUAUAGACUUUUAAUAUCAGCGUAAAUAACAGGAUAUUUUCUCGAUUUUUUGUUGUUGGCUACUGAGUCGUUACACUGCUUUUAGUUGGUUGCUGUUGAAGACUGAAUAAUGAUACUAGGAUUACCUCAUUUCAUGUGGAGAUUGAACAAUUCUUUAUAGAGUAAAAAAUUUAGGUAGGAUAUGGUCUUAGUAAAUUGUGUAGUGAUAAUAAAACCACCCAGUACACGUUCGUUUGUUUGGGUUUUUGUUUUAUGUGUAGGUGGGCAAAACCCACAAUCAAAUUACAUUGAGAAGCGUUUGUAGGUUUGUUUCAGUUUUUCUUUUUCAUUUCUCUUCUAAUGUUUUAAAAAUGUUUAAUAAUUUUUUUUUAAGAUUAAGUAACUAAAAUCUCCUAACGUUUUUGUAUCAUUCCAAAUUAAUCUCAACUUUUUUCAAACAAGUACAUCACCUAUAGAAAAAUGUUAUAUCCCUUAAGCCCCAAUUAGAUUUCUGUUAAAUUAAAUAGGUUUACUUUGUCUCCAACAUCAAUAGAAGGUCAUGAAACAUGACUUCCACCAGGUAUUGGUCACCAUUUAAAUUUUCAUGGACGGAAAGAGCAUUGAAACUGGGCACAAAUUCCUCAUAUUUAGUUAUGUCACUCUUGAAGAAAGCGAAAUUGAUGAAUAUUUCCGGUAAAGGCAUCAUUCAACAUAUUUGGAUGAUCGCAAUCCAACUAACAUACUUGCUAGCCGCACUACCACCUCGUAGCAGCAGCAACCACCCUUGUAAUAAUGCGGGUGCCGGCACAAAUCCCUCUCUCAAAACUGCAGCUUCAAUCAGUCAGACCUUCAGCCGUCGGUGUGAGAAUCUCUAAGGCUGGGGCCCAAUGUUUUGGAUGUGAGAAUCUUGACUUUAUUUGGGACCAAUUUUGGUUGAUAGUUCAUAGUUGGCCUUUGUAUGCAAGUGAAUGAUGUAAAGUGACCAGGCAGAAAACGAGACAUGCAGGAAAAACCGGUUACAAAACCCUAAAGUUGGACCAGCAUGUGUAUGUGUAGUAUGAAGAAACAUUCAAAUUUGAGUAAUUAAUUUCCUCAUUCAUCUUGGAAGUUGAAACAUUAUUUAUAUACUAAAACCCAAACUCGGGUGGUACUGUUCAUUAACAGUAAAUUGACGAAAAUGCCCCUCAAUUUUUCUUCCUCUCCGUUUUGAUGGUGAGUUUUUACAGUAAUAUGACCGUUUUGCCCUUUUGAUUGUACGUGUCUUUCAUCCAUCCGUGCUUUUUUGUUUUUCUACAGUGAAAAGGCUAUUAUGCCUUUUUACUCCACCUGUCCGUCAUCAAUGCAUGCUUGGGUUAGGUGUUCUGGACUUUUCUUUUGUCAAGCCCACGUGUUGGUCAUCGCGUGGUACUUUGAGUGGGUUUUAUUUUGUUCCGUUUUAUUUCCUCUCACUUCCAUCUUUGUUUCACGGUCGUUCUCACAUGUUAAAUCCUUUUUGCCUAAAAAAUUCCUGCUUCGGGUCGUCGCGAAUUUUCGUGUUGUUGCUUUCAGUCGGUGUUUUGUGCAAUUCUGCAGCCUGCGGUUGCUUGGAAAAUACGAAAUCAAUGUAAGGUUUUUAUUUGCAACCUGUGAAGACAUCUGUUUUUAAGGUGAAGAUUUUUGAAAUUAUGUGCUUUUAAUUCGAAGGAUAGUGUGCUUGCUUAUUGUUAAUUAUUUUUAUUUCGUUUUGAAUUUGUUAGUUUAUCUUUUGUGCAUCUAAGUGUAUGAUUCAAUGUUUUAGACUGAAUUUUUAUGGUUUUGAGUUUGUGGGUUUUUUUGGGUGCAUGAGAAAAUGUUAUCCAAUGGUUUGAUUCAACAUUUUUCCUCAAUCUGUUGCAACUUUGCAGUCGCUGCGCCCCUUUGUCAAACUUUGUUUUCUGUUUUUUAUUUUUUCUGUGCUGCUUUUGUAAAAUUGAAGUAGGAGUUUGACAGAUGUUGAUGAAUCCCGCAGUUUAUUGGCGAAGAGAACAACACCUUUUGUAAUGUUUGUAGUCAUUUAUCCACAUAUUCAUAAAGUGGUGUUAUUUUUAUGGAUGAUGGUUGUUAAUCUUUUGUAUUGUUAAUUUCGUAGCGUGUGGGUUGCUUGGAGACCACCGGGUUAUGCUUUUGUUCAUUGGAUCACGGUAGAGAUGCAAAGGAUGCAAUUGGUGAAUUAGAUGGUAUGUUUAAUAUUUGGUUGUUGAUUUUUAAUAUUGGGUUUUCUUAGUUUAUAUCAUUCGAAUCCAGCAUAAGGGAGAAUCAUAAGUUCAUCAGCAACAUUGUUUGUGACGUAGCAUAAUUAGAUGGUAUCUGUUUUGAGAUGCAUAUUUCAAAAUCUUCCUUAUGCAACCUGUGAUUUUUCACGAACUAAGACUUGAUAACCACAUAAUAUGUCUUGUACAUGUGACACGAUAACCACAUAAUAUAAUCAUUCAAUCUAAAAGAACUAAGACUUGAUCCUAUAAAAACAAACACAUGUUUUGUGAUGUAUCCAAAGUUUUGAGAAAAAAAAAAGAGAAAAACACUUACUUAAAAAGCACCCUCUCCAAAAUUAAGAACAUAAACACACACUAAAUUUUCUUAAAACUAAAAACUAGAGGUUCCAGGUUCGAAAUAUGUUGCUGGUGUGGAAGAAGCCAUGUUUGUGGUCAGGAAGAGGUUGAAAUGACUCUAUGAAUCUUCCUGGUCCCGAAAUGAAUAUAUAAUCUUAAUUUACCAUCAAUUAUUUUUCUUUAAAAAAAUAUAAAAAUAAAAAAGUGCCACUCACAUGACCCUCAUAUAGUCUAUUCCAGUCACGUGUCCCGGUGCGAGACACAUGUGCGACUCCGCAAGACUUUCUCUGUGCACUCAUCCAAACCAAUCCAACAUUCCAUUUACCCCACAAUACCGCUGGCGCGUAACCGUCAUCCACCUCAGCGCGUACAACAUAAUAUCUGCAGUCGUUUCUCAAGCGUUAAACCAGCAUCCCUGCAACCACACCAAUCUGUGUGCCAUUAGGUCCGAUCAUCUUUUACUGUUCCUCGCUUGGCACGCGUCCUUCGUCGCUGCCGUUUCUGUUUCAGUUCUCUGCUUUUUCUUCUUUGCUUUCCAUUUCUCUUCUCUCUCUCGCCCUCCUCUCAAGUGUUUUGCAAGCAUUUCUCCCUUUCUCUUUGUCGCCAUGGUCUCCAUCACUCUCAAACCUUCGUUUCUUCUAUCCCUGUCAAAUCUUGGCUUGCUGGAAAACUCUGAAGCAGUUUAAGCUUCUUCAGCUUUUUGAUUUGGAUUGAAGAUGAUUUUAAGCCAACAAGUUUAGCGUUUUCUGGUAAGUUGUUUGAAUCCUACAUCUUGGAGUUUUUGUUUUUAUUUUUUCAAAUCUAUGGGUUUUGUUUUCUUCAAUUUUAAAAUAUUAAAAAUUGAAUCUUUUCUUUUGGGUAAUAUUUUUCAAUUAGAUUAUGGUAUGGGUUCUGAUGAGGCAUGCAAUUGGGUUUGAGAGUUUUGAUUUAAUGAGAGAGAUAAGGAGUAUACUAUACACGGAGAGAGGGAGGAAAACGGGAGAGAAGGGACCUUAUUUCCUUAUUUCCUUUAGGAAAUAGGAACAAGUAAUUGAGGAUACGGUACACCUAUAAAUAAAGGGUUUAGCCUAUUUUCUAAAGCACAUCUAUUCAACCUUCAAUUGGUCUUCUGAUAAAGCAUCAAUCUUCUCUAUCUCGAGUCUCAAACCAGAAAACAUCAAUCUUUUCAAUUCUUCUGUAAAAAAAUACACCUCUUCUAUUUUUUCAUCAUGCAAUCAGGUAUAUGUUUUUUUAUGUUGUUCUUAUGUUUUUUUACCGAAAUUAUCGAAUUGUGCACUGGUUAUAUACACAAAGGCUAAAAAGCUCAAUCUUUUCCUAGUUUCUUGUUAUACCAUUCCACAAAAACUAUAACUUUUAUUAUUAUCGGCAACUGAUCUCUGAUGUUUUUUCUUUUUUGCUUGUCAGAUUGGGCGAACUUGCCAACAGAUGUUUUGUCUUUGAUUUACGACAGGUUGUCUGUUGCAUCUGAUUGCGUGCAAUUCAUGGCCGUUUGCAGGUCAUGGCGUUGUAUGAAAAAGGACAGAAAAUAUAAACGUGCUAGGUUGACAACUCCAAUGGUCUUUGUUUCUGAGAGGAAAGAAAAUACAUGGAAUGCAUAUGAUUUUGUGAACAAUCAAGUCCUUGGUUUUCAAUUAAAAUUACCAAAGACGCGAUUUUGUGGGUCUUCCAACGGAUGGAUAAUAACAGUGGAGAAUUUUGUUGUAACCCUAAGGAAUCCACAAUAUGAUGUUAAAGGGAGGACAGAGAGGCCUUCAAUCAUUCGCCUUCCUCCACUAAAACCUCAAGUUAAUUACAAACUACGAGGUUAUGUUAAAGCUCAUUCUGACUAUUUUGUCAUCAAGGCUACGAUGUCAGCAGACCCGAUCUCAAACUCCAAAGAUUGCAUUGUUAUGGUUCUGUAUGAACCUCUUAGUCAAUUGGCUUUUAUUAGACUUGGUAAAGACACAAGGUGGACUUAUAUUGAUAAGCAUGGUGAUGAAAUCUUUCCAUGGAUUACAGAUGUUGUUCUAAUUGAAGAUAAGAUUUACGCGGUUGAUGCUUGGAGCAAACUUUGGGCUUUUGAUUCUACUUCCAAAUCCAUCGUAGAUGUACAAUUGGUUGCUACUGGCAUAGCAGAUGAACCUCAGAAGAUGUAUCUUGUCGGUUCAAAGAAGAAAGGACUAUUGCUGAUUUACAGAUUUAGUGAGUAUCGAUUGUUUACCCGCGAGUCGAGAAAAUUUAGAAUUUUUGAAUUGAGUUCUAAUGAUGAGUGGAUUGAAAAAAACGACUUGGGUGAUCUUGCUUUGUUUCUAGGUGAUAAUGAUCCAAUAUCUGUAGUGGCUUCAAUGCAUUCAAGAUGUCAGUCAAACUGCAUAUACUUCGUUAAUGAUAACGAACGUAUAAACUGUCGACAUACAUUUGAUGAUUUCGGAGUGUAUAAUGUCAAAAGUCAAAACGUUACAAAACCUGCACUUUUGAGAAACCCAGUGAAGAGGACAAUGUACCCUCCAUUUAUGUUUCAACCAAUUGUUUACAUGUAACAAUUUAUUAUUUGUCCCCUAGAUUAUUAUUUUAAAGUUAAUUUAUGAGAUCUUGUUUGGAACGGACACAGGUACAUGAACUAGUUGAUAGUUGAUAUAUAUAUUUUUUAUUAUUAAAAAAAUUACAAAAUCUAGUACAAUUCAAGAUAAUCAGCUGAUAAAUUACAAGAUGUUGGGAGAGGGCGGGAGGGAGGGGAGGUUCAGUGGAUGAAUUAGAAAGGGGAAAAUGAGUUCAGGAAAUAGCAUCAAUUGUAAGGUUCCGUUUUGGUGGAGACUUGUCUGUAAAUUUAUGUUUCAACCAAUUGUUUACAUGUAACAAUUUAUUAUUUGUCCCCUAGAUUAUUAUUUUAAAGUUAAUUUAUGAGAUCUUGUUUGGAACGUACACAGGUACAUGAACUAGUUGAUAUAUAUAUAUAUAUAUAUAUAUAUAUAUAUAUAUAUAUAUAUAUAUCAACUAUAUAUAUGACGCCAAAUAAAAUACGUGCAAAACUCAACAGUUUUGUGCAAUAAUCAAUCACAUUCAUGCACCAAAAAGAAUCAUUAAGUCAAAUUCAUGUAAUUCCUUUUCAUGUGAGUGCAUGGGGCGUGUACUCAUGGCUUGGUAGCCGCCACAAAAUAUGACGCCAGCCAUCAUAUUCUUUGCACCUUUUUCUUAAUUUCAAACGAGACAAAUUUGACAAUCAUAUCAACUCCUUCACUGUUAAACGUGGACGUAACCACAUUGUUAGACCACAUUUUCUUUUUAGGUCACUUGAGUUCAAAUCAAAAACCACUCUCACAGUACAUAUAUCAAAUUGAAGUAGAAUAUCGCUCAAAAAUAUUGUCCCUCCACCAAAGCCAUUUGCUUCAAUGCUACAUUGUUUGCUUGAUAAUAUCCAAUUACAUGCGUUUGCCCUUUUUAUUAACAUCCCAUAAAUUAAACUAGCCUAUUGCCAUAAGGUUUGUGACAAUUGGUUUUUUUGAUUUUUGAUUUGAAAAAAAUAGAAAAACAAAAUAAUAAUAUAUUUUUUGAAAAGAUAAAGUUAGUUACGGGAAUGGAUUUUUUUUGUGAAUUUUUAUUUUAUUUGAAAAUUUAAUGAGAAAUGGCAAUUUUAGGAUUAUGAAUAUUUCAUCAUUUUUGCCUUCUCCCUAUAUAUGAUAAACCAUAAUACAUAACUGCUAACGUAGUAGAAGGAGAAAAUAUUACCAUGAGAGAUAAAAUUUGGUAACUCUUUAUUUACUUUUUGUCCUCCUUCUUUUCUUCCUUUUUCUCCUCCUUCUUUUCCUCUUUCUUCUCCUCUUUCUUUUCUUCUUUUUUCUCUUCUUUCUUCUCUUCCUUGGCUGGUCCGACAGAUACUAUGUCUACUUUCCCGACCUUCUUCAACUUCUUCACUACAGCCACUGGAUCCAUCAGUCCUACAACUGUCAGCUUCUGGUCCUUUAUAUCUGCCGCGAUUGAAUCAAUCCCUGUUCACGAAAUAACCCAAAAACAAAAUAAAUAAGAGAGAAAUAAAGAAGCUUUAAUUAGGUUUAAUAACAAAAGUGCUUCUGACAACGUUUGGCAGAAAAAAAUUCAAAGUAGUUUUAGUUUUUUUUUUUAAUUUUAAAACCCUUGUUUUCAAUGAAGGCGUUUGUGAAUAUAAGUGCUUUAAAGAAGGAUAUCCAAACAGAACCGUAUAAUUUUGAGAAUUUCUUUUUAUAUUAUUGAACUAUUGAAGAUAUAACCAAAACUGAGUAAAGAUAAAUGAAAAUAAAUACCAAAAAUAUCAGCGGCAGCUUCAAUGGCUUUCUGCUUUGUUUUGUCAUCAGUCAUGGUCAGGACCAAAGAAGAAAAAAUCGAUAAUAUCGGCGAUAUCACACAAUUAAGUGACAUAUCACACAAUUAAAUUUUAGGAAAACUAAUGAAAAUGGCUUGAAAACUUUGAGUUUUAACGAUAAGAACAAAAUAAAGGGUAAAAUGAAUAGUACAAUAAUUGACUUUUUAGUAUAAAAAUAUGAUUUUUCGUUAAAAUAAACAGUAUCGGGAGUUUUUCGUUAAAAUUCCCUUAAAUUUUAGGCAAGAAUAAGUUUUAACAAAUGAGUCAUAAUUACGUGGAUUGAUAUAAGAACUUUUUGCUGCCAAUUUUGACUUAUGAGUUGUCAAUUAUUUUUCUGAUUGUUUUGUUGUGUGUCCCACUCAUGGUCCGAAAUGCCGAUAAUAUCGGCGAUAUAUCGCCGAUAUUAUCGGUUUUUAGGGGAACCAAAAUUUUUUUCACUAUCCAAAUGGUUUUCGGGAUAAUAUCGCGAUAUUAUCGAAAUUAUCGAUAAUAUCGGAAUGGGAAUACUCGGAGAAGAACGUCGGAGUUCGCCGAGUUGCAGAGACGAGAAGGAGAGGGAGAAAGACGAGGUUGCUGAUGAUGAUGGGUGUGCGUGUGUGUAUGUGGGUCUCGGACCCUCGGUGCAGAGAGAAAGGAGAGAGACGGCGGCGACGAGGGAGAAGUAGAAGCCGAUCUGCCGAUGUAGGUCUCUGUGCGUGUGUGUGGGAGUGGGAGAAGGAUCGAGAGACCUUGGGUCUCUGUGCGUGUGUGUGUGCGUGCGAUAGGUGCGUGCGUGCUGCGGUGCAGAGAAGAAAGAUGAGGGAGAUAUGAGAGAAAGUCGAGAGGGAGACAGAAGAAAAAGAAAAGAAAACAAAAAGAAGAAGCAAAGAAGAAGGGAGUCACAGGGGAACAGAGAGAGAAAAGAGAAGAGCGGAGGGGGGGCUGCCACGUGGCCACUUCAGAAAGAAAGGGAUCCAAUGUUUUGGAUCCUGAUUGGGUAGUCAAAGAGGACCAAUUUGAUAUAUUAAAAUGUUUAGGGGAUAAUUACACAAAUAUAUCUUUAUAAAUGGGGGUGGGUGUUACAUAUUGCCCUAAAAAACUCCAAGUAAUUACAACAUCGUAUUAGAAUUUUAAUUGAUCCUUGUUAGAUUUGGUUUAGAAAUUCUAUGUAAUUUAGUGAUUGUUUCAUAUUAGGUUUAGAUUUGAAUUUUUUACUCCAUUCAGAUUUUAAAGGAUUAUAAUAGAUUUAAAAAUUUAUGAAUUUUGAUGAAGUUUAAUAAUUUUAAAAACUUUUAUGUAAAAUUUUAAGUGAAUUCCCUCAAAUUUUCAGGGAGCGAUUUGAGAAUGUUUAAAAUAUUAUGUGAAAUAUUUCUAAUUUUUUCGAGUUUCCCAACUUUUUAAAAAUCUCUUAGAAUCAAUUUCUAAAUGAAUACAUUUGGAAUGUAUGAAUUUCUUAAAAAUCAUGAUCGAAUACCCCUUAAACUUUAAAGAAUCAUUUAAAAUCCUGAUUAAAUGCCCUUAGAUUUUUAAGGAGAAUUAAAAUGUUUAUAAGCCCCAAUUGGAUGUACCUCUUAAUUUAACUAAUUGACACAACACAACAAAACCAAUUAAGAUUACAAAUUAACACAAAAGACGACUUGAUGCGAGGUCAUAUCUAAAAAACUUGCCGCAAUAAGCCCCAAUUGGUGUGUUUAAACUUCUUUAAUUAAUUACUACAUAUUUUCUACACUCACAAUGUUUGUCAGCUCGCUAUAUAAUCAACUUGAUAAUGUUAAAUCCAUCAUGCAAUGCAUUUCCUUCGAAUUUUUUGUGAUAAACUAAUAGAUAAUUGACUAAAUAAACAUCCUGAAAAGUUUCAAUAAAAAUUUCUAAGUUUUUCUUACAAUUUCCGUGGUUUCCAUGUAAUUUUUAUCGAUAUCGAUAUUAUCCCGAUAUUUCCAUCGAUAUUUCCGUGUUUUCGGACUACCGAUAUUUCCGAUAUUACCGAUAUUUAAUACCUUGGUCCCACUAAUGCAUCAAUUGCAAAUCAUGAAAAUUUAUCGAUCCUGAUUUCCUAUUAAAAGUAGGAGAUACAAAUAUUAUUAUAGAGUAAACUGCCGAUUUGCUCCCUGAACUAUCACCCAACUUUCAAUUUGCCCCCUGAACUUUUUAAUUAGAAAAUUAAGGACUUAAACUAAUUUUUUUGGCCGAUUUCCCCCCUACCGUUAGUUUUUCAUAAAUUUCAUCCAAAUUAACGUUAACUCUUAUCAUGUGCAAACCACAUAACUCUCAUUUGUGGACAAAAGCGUCAUUCACUAGACCUUCAGACAGAAAAGCUAUAAAAUCACACAUAUUUGCAUAGGUUUAUAUUUUAGAAAUCUAAGGUUUUCAAUUAUUUUAAAGAAUGAAGUGACCGAACUACCCACACAUGUUGUGCAUAUGCUUCCAUUUAACAGAAAUUUGGAUGCAAUAAAUGAAAAAUUAACAGCAGGGGGCAAAUUGGCCAAAAAAAUUAGUUUAAGUCCUUAAUUUUCCAAUUAAAAAGUUCAAGGGGCAAAUCAAAAGUUGGGUGAUAGUUCAGGGGGCAAAUUGGCAGUUUACUCUAUUAUUAUAACAAAAACAUGUGUUGGAAGAAGAGAAAAUUUGACCAUAUGAACUAUUAAAUUAACAUUUGAAAUCUCCAUUAGAAAUGCUCUUGCAACCUCACAAGAACAUGCCUGUCAAACUAACAUUUAUCGAUCCCGAAGGUGCAUCGCCACCCUCCACGUGUCCAGGAUAUUUUCGUUGGUUAUAGGAGUAUAUUAGGUCGUGGACCCACACAAGGAUCACUACUAGAGACAUGGUAGAGAUGACCAAGCAGCCCGACUAUAGAAGGAACAUUCUCUUCUUCUUUGUUUUCCUCUCUUUUCAUUUCCUUCUAUUUGAAUGAUUACGAUUAAGUCAUGUUAAUAUUUUGUAUUAAAUUUUUAUAAAACAAAAAACAAAGUAUGAGAGGAGGAAAGAAAAUGAGGGAAUAGGGCUUUAUUUGACUACUGUUAGGGCAUGCAUCCAUAUUGGAGUGGUCUGUGAUACCAUUUAAAAAAAAAAAUCAAGUUUUGAAUUUUUUUUUUUUAACAAACGAUAUUGUCUACACUAAAAGGGAAGAGGUGAGCUUAGUCUCAUAACGGGCUAUGAAUAAUGUGGUUCAAAUUUGCUUUUUACGAGAAACGAACAUACGACCUUUCACUUACAAGUGAAAAGAAAUAUCACUUUUUGAUUCAAAAUUUCAUGAUGCAUUGAAAAAGAUAAAGAUAGACCGGUAUGGAUGUGCUAAGUAUCUAGUAUAUAUGUAUACAUGUAAUGAUUAGCAAAGGAGAUCUUUCUGUUGCCCUUUUACUUGUUUUUCUAAUUUGUAAAAAUAAUUGUUGCUUUCCUUACCUACAAUUAUCCGUGAUUAAUAUAGAAAGAACCAAUAUAAUAAGAAGAAAAUGAAACAGUUGACACAGCUGGUGACUUUGGAAUGCAGGAAUAAGGGGUCAGUUGUCUGCUUUUUCUUUCUUUGCUUUCCAUUUCUCUUCUCUCUCUCUCUCGCCCUCCUCUCAAGUGUUUUGCAAGCAUUUCUCCCUUUCUCUUUGUCGCCAUGGUCUCCAUCACUCUCAAACCUUCGUUUCUAUCCCUGUCAAAUAUUGGCUUGCUGGAAAACUCUGAAGCAGUUUAAGCUUCUUCAGCUUUUUGCUUUGGAUUGAAGAUGAUUUUAAGCCUACAAGGUUAACGUUUUCUGGUAAGUUGUUUGAAUCCUUCAUCUCGGAGUUUUUAUUUUUAUUUUUUCAAAUCUAUGGGUUUUGUUUUCUUCAAUUUUAAAAUAUUAAAAAUUGAAUCUUUUCUUUUGGGUAAUAUUUUCCAAUUAGAUUAUGGUAAGGGUUCUGAUGAGGCAUGGAAUUGGGUUUGAGAGUUUUGAUUUAAUGAGAGAGAUAAGGGUGAGGGAAAAACGGAGAGAAGGUAUGUGUGCGCUCGUAUAUUCCUAUUUCCUUGUUUCCUUGUAUAUUCCUAUUUCCCUAUUUCCUUAUUUCCUUUAGGAAAUAGGAACAAGUAAUUGAGGAUACGGUACACCUAUAAAUAAAGGGUUUAGCCUAUUUUCUAAAGCACAUCUAUUCAACCUUCAAUUGGUCUUCUGAUAAAGCAUCAAUCGUCUCUAUCUCGAGUCUCAACCCAGAAAACAGAAAACAUCAAUCUUUUCAAAUCUUCUGUAAAAAAAUACACCUCUUCUAUUUUUUCAUCAUGCAAUCAGGUAUAUGCUUUUUUCUGUUGUUCUUAUGUUUUUUUACCGAAAUUAUCGAAUUGUGCACUGGUUAUAUACACAAAGGCUAAAAAGCUCAAUCUUUUCCUAGUUUCUUGUUAUACCAUUCCACAAAAACUAUAACUUUUAUUAUCAUCGGCAACUGAUCUCUGAUGUUUUUUCUUUUUUGCUUGUCAGAUUGGGCGAACUUGCCAACAGAUGUUUUGUCUUUGAUUUACGACAGGUUGCCUGUUGCAUCAGAUUGCGUACAAUUCAUGGCCGUUUGCAGGUCAUGGCGGUGUAUGAAAAAGGACGGAAAAUAUAAACGAGCUAGGUUGACAACUCCAAUGGUCUUUGUUUCUGAGAGGAAAGAAAAUACAUGGAAUGCAUAUGAUUUUGUGAACAAUCAAGUCCUUGGUUUUCAAUUAAAAUUACCAAAGACGCGAUUUUGUGGAUCUUCCAACGGAUGGAUAAUAACAGUGGAUAAUUUUGUUGUAACCCUAAGGAAUCCACAAUAUGAUGUUAAAGGGAGGACAGAGAGACCUUCUAUCAUUCGUCUUCCUCCACUAAAACCUCAAAUUAAUGGACAAAUAAGAGGUUAUGCUAAAGCUCAUUCUGACUAUUUUGUCAUCAAGGCUACGAUGUCGGCAGACCCGAUCUCAAACUCCAAAGAUUGCAUUGUUAUGGUUCUGUAUGAGCCUCUUAGUCAAUUGGCUUUUAUUAGGCUUGGUAAAGACACAAGGUGGACUUAUAUUGAUAAGCAUGGUGAUGAAAUCUAUCUGUGGAUUAAAGAUGCUCUUCUAAUUGAAGAUAAGAUUUACGCCGUCGAUAGUCGGAGCAGACUUUGGGCUUUUGAAUCUACAUCCAAAUCCACCGUAGAUGUACAAUUGGUUGCUACUGGAAUAGCAGAUCGGCCUCAAAAAAUGUAUCUUGUCGGUUCAAAGAAGAAAGGACUAUUGAUGAUUUACAGAUUUAGUGAGUAUCGACGGUUUACCCGCGAGUCGAGGAAGUUUAGAAUUUAUGAAUUGAGUUCUAAUGACGAGUGGAUUGAGAAAAACGACUUAGGUGAUAUUGCUUUGUUUGUGGGUGAUAACGAUUCAGUAUCUGUAGUGGCUUCAAUGCAUUCAAGAUGUCAGUCAAACUGCAUAUACUUCGUUAAUGACAACGAUGGUAUACAGUGUCAGCAUACAUUUGACGACUUCGGGGUGUAUAAUGUCAAAAGUCAAAGCGUUACAAAACCUGCACGUUUGAGGAACCCAGUGAAGAGGACGAGGUACCCUCCAUUUAUGUUUCAACCAAUUGUUUACAUGUAACAGUUUAUUACUAGAAUAUGUUACCCGCGCGUUGUUGCGGGAUAAAGAAU